rnacentral:misc_RNA from 1 species
AAGUCGUAACAAGGUUUCCGUAGGUGAACCUGCGGAAGGAUCAUUACCGAGUUCUCGGGCUUCGGCUCGAAUCUCCCACCCCUUUGUGAACAUACCUCUGUUGCUUUGGCGGCUCUUUGCCGCGAGGAGGCCCUCGCAGGCCCCCCCGCGCGCUUUCCGCCAGAGGACCUUCAAACUCCAGUCAGUAAACGUCGACGUCUGAUAAACAAGUUAAUAAACUAAAACUUUCAACAACGGAUCUCUUGGUUCUG